rnacentral:lncRNA from 1 species
AAAGAAAAUAACGUUUAUCAAUAAAUCUGCAUGAAAAAAAGAGAUCACAAAAUAAACUGCCUACUUUUAUUUCUUUUGUGAAAUGGAGACCACUUACUACGGUUUUUUGAUGACUUCUCCACUAACUAGAAUGUUUUGUUUCGCAGCCUUGCCGCCCUAUUCUGUUGCUGAUUUCUUGUUGAUGAGUGCAGCUUGGAUCCAGCCAUCCUAUUUCUCUGCUGAUAUCACUCUGCUCCAUCUUAAAGUAUUUGCUGUCUUUAAACACACUUGAAGUAUCUGCUGUGAAGCUGUAAUCAAAAUUUCAAGUUUGAAAGUGUUUCAGAAUCUUUAUUUAGAGAAACUUCCAUAAAAUUAUAUUUCAUUGUGGUUAGAGGUGAUAGUCAAAAGAACAUAAAUAAGAAGUUUCAUGGAUGUCAAAUUAACGUUUCUCAGAGAUCAUUCUGCAUCAAUCCAGUCUGCUGCAUGGAAGAAUCUGAUUACUUUAAUCAACACUUAUGCUACUCAUAUCUUAUCUUUUAGAACCAUUAGGGUCUUCAAAACAGAAAUUAACAUUUUUUAGAUAAUUUUUUAGUGCCAUUUAUCAUGACUAACUCAAUGGGCUAAUUGUCUUAUUAACUUGAUGGAUCCACUGUAGUAAAAUCAUCUGAAUCCUUAUAAACCAACGUUGAUACUUAAACUCAAGUUAUUUAUAGUAGACUCUGAUGUUUAUAAUCCUUAUAAACCGAUACAAGGCAUUUCAAACAUCUGAUGUGUUUGAAAAUGUGACAUUACAAGUGAUAAGAUGUGGGGUUAAUUCUUUGGUGAGGUCUUCCCAAAGUCAUAAAUCUUGAAAUAUAUCAAAUGUAUACCAAGGUUUGACUUACUAGUCCGAGCCGGUUUGUCGACCGAUCGGUGGCACAGCACAUGCUGCCCUGUAGUGGUGCACCAACACAUGAUAUGUAGCGUGAAGGGAAGCAGCAGCACGAUGGCGGUGAAGCGGUGAAGAGGCAGUAUUGCAACGGCGAAGAGGCAACAUCAAGUAAAGCUCCAAAUCAGCCGUAAAAUUCAUGCAUUUCGCUGACACAAGAGGCCGAACCAAAAAUGCUCAC